UACAGAGGGUGCGAGCGUUGUCCGGAAUCACUGGGCGUAAAGGGCGCGUAGGCGGCCCGGUAAGUAGGGGGUGAAAUCCCGCGGCUCAACUGCGGGGCUGCCUCCUAAACUGCCGGGCUCGAGCACGGUAGAGGCUGGUGGAAUUCCCGGUGUAGCGGUGGAAUGCGUAGAGAUCGGGAAGAACAUCGGUGGCGAAGGCGGCCAGCUGGGCCGUUGCUGACGCUGAUGCGCGACAGCGUGGGGAGCAAAC
rnacentral:rRNA from 1 species